CCUGAUGUCCAUAGUGCUGUGGCUCCACCUGAUUCCAUUCCGAACUCAGAAGUGAAACGCAGUAACGCCGAUGGUAGUGUGGGGUUUCCCCAUGUGAGAGUAGGGCAACAUCAGG
rnacentral:rRNA from 1 species